AAAAGAAAAGGAGGAACUACUGUUCCUCUUCUUGAAUCCAUCCGCCGUCAUACUCCACCACCGUCACAACCCAAAACAAUCGUUCAUCACCAUCAAAUCUACCGCGCCUCAUACACCAUAACCACCGUUAAACCAUGAAACAUUUCCUUCGACAAACUCUCCAACUACUCUCUCACACUCACCGAAAACUCUCCCUCACCUCACCUAUCUUCUCUUAAUCUCUGUAGAAAAAAAGGAGAAAAAACGAGAAAAGAAAAAGAAAUUGGGAAAAACUCUUCCUCUUCUUCGAAUCUCACAAGCCACUACCCCAUCGCCUCCAUUGCCUCCAACCGACGCCAUUACUUCCAUCACAGACCACCGCUCCACCUCAACAACCUUCAUCAAACCCAUACUCCCUCCAAAUCACCAAAUAACCAAACCAGAUCCAUACGUCUUAAUCCCGCCACCGCAACGUAAAGAUCUUCGAUGGUAUCCGUUCAACAUGCGAUUUCAUAUUUUUGGUUCAAUCGAUAAGAACGGGGUUUGAAUUUAUAGAAAUCAAAUUUAUUUAGUUCCUGUUGUUUUUAAAAUUUUCUAGUUGGUUUUGCUUUACCAUGGUUUGGUUAGUUUUCUCAGAGGUUUAAUUUCAUAAGAUUGCUGCCAUGUUUUAGUGAUAGGCUUGCGUUACGUUCUUGGAGUGCUGAAGUUGCUAACCUUGUGCUUCACUAUGAAUCACCUCCUUCACCACCCUCGCUCCCAACGAACUUUCCAACCCUUCUCGAUUCAGACGCCGUCACAGCACCGUAACCAAACAACAACACCAUUCCGCGAGCUCCUCCUUCCACCUGUCCAAAACUGAGCUCAAAUUGGAAAUCUCCGAUUCCGACUACUUCAAGAAGCUCAACUUACAGUGGCACAAACUCAUCAACAUUGACAAUACAACGACAUUGUAGGUAACGACAUUCUAAGGCCAUAAUUUUAUUAUGUUGGUUAUUUAUUUUACUGUAUAAUUUUAUUUUAUUUUGGAUCUAUGAGGUGUUGCUGUUGUUUCAUGCCAUUUGUUUUUAAUACUAGGAUGAAUAAAUGUUAUGCAUAGUAAGUUUUUUGUCUUAAUUUUCCCUAUGGAUAUUGUUGCCAUCGCCUAUUAAGCACUGGCACUGGGUGCUACAGAGGUUGUUGUUUGUUUAUGAGAUUUAGUACUUGAUUUAACCAAAUGUGGAUCUUAAAUAUAAAGGUGACCUUAGCUAGUACGCCAAAAUUGAAAAUGCACCCUUAUUUUUGUAGUAUAUGAUAGAUAAUUGCUUAUUAAAUAGGACAUUUAUAUGUAGCUUCGAUACUGAGUAUAGGUUAGUAUGCUGACACUAUUUUCUUAUAUUAAUGUAACAUUCUAGAUUUCGGUUCACUCGUGUAGCCAUUGUUGGAAUUUUACUCUUUCCAGUUUUUAUAUUACUCUUGCAAAGAUAUAAACAAUGUUUGUGUUGCUUUUAUUUUAUUCCUGGUGCGUGCAAAAUCCGAUAAAUUAAUGGAUUCGACCUUUUAUGUCGUUAUUCCACCAAAAUUUCAAUAUAUCAAUAGAAUAUUUUUCACCGUGUUUGGAUUUUGUAAAUGACAUUGACCAUGUUGUCAUCUUGCACAAACCGGUUUGAGCACACCGAUUCAAUUAAUCAACUUAAUUAAAUUCUGAUAAAUUAAUAAUUAAAGGUUGACCAGUUUCUUUUCCACUGUCUUUUCAUAAUAAGCAAAUUCGAUUCCACUUCAUGUUAUCAUCAACCCAUAAUCACAAAUAAACCGCACAAUUCUCAAUUCAAAGUUGAGCCCAUUUUUCCAAAACUUUGUAAGUCGAUCGCUUUUAGCAUCGCCGUCAACCUCACAUAGCUUACUCUUGGGCUUUCUUACAAUGAGAACUAUUUGAUUUUAUUCAAUCGAGUAGAAGAACGAUACACUAAAAUAAAAUUCAUUUCACUCAUAAGCACCAAAUUUAAAACCUCGACCCAAUGUCGAGUAUUUUCAUUCGAAUUAAAUUAAAGUACCCAAUCACAAUCAAAUACCAUUUCAUUUGGAAAUGAAAAGGGGGAUGGCUUUGAGUUUUCAAUUCCUCUCCUCGAUUACUUGAAUACGUGUUCUCUUACUCGGUUAGUCAAAUAGUCGUCACUUCCAUCCAUCUAAGCAUAAAAAAAUCGAAUCAUUUUAUAAUAAGAAACGAAAAGGGAGAUGACUUUGAGUCUUCAAUUUUUCUCCUCGAUUAUUUGAAUACAAGUUCUCUUACUUGGUUAGUCAAAUAAUUGUCGUUCCUCUACAAACACAUUUUAUAAUAAGAAACGAAAAGGGAGAUGACUUUGAGUCUUCAAUUUUUCUCCUCGAUUAUUUGAAUACAAGUUCUCUUACUUGGUUAGUCAAAUAAUUGUCGUUCCUCUACAAACUUCCAAACCUCGAUUAAACCAAAACACUUUCAUAAUGAGCUAAAUUAAAAGGGAGAUGACUUUGAGUUUUCAACUUCUCUCCCCAAUUGUUUGAAUACGAGUUCUCUUACUCGGUUAGUCAAACAACUGUCAUUUUUCCACAAACAUAUAACUUAAUCAAAUCAUUUUCAUAACAAACUGUAUGAAAAGGAAGAUGGUCUUGAGUUUUCAAUUCCUCUUCUCAAAUGCUUGGAUAUGAGUUGUCUUACUCAGUCAUUCAAGUACUUGUCGUUCAUUCUAAAAUACAUCAACCAUACGCAAACCUAUUUUCAUAAUCGCUCAGAUGAAAAAGAAAGUGGUCUAGAGUAUUCUAUUCUGUUUCCCGAUUAUUAGGAUACGAGUUAUCUUACUUGAUUAUCCGAGUAUUCGUGAUCCAGUCAAAAUACCUUAAUUAUUACUAAAACCUUUUAUAGUUAAAGAGGAAAAAGAAAGUGGUCUAGAGUUUUCUAUUCCCUUUCCCGAUUAUUAGGAUACGAGUUGUCUUACUCGGCCAUCCGAGUAAUCGUCAUCCAAUCAAAAAUACCUUGACACAUCCAACCUAUAUUUUCUCGCCCCCGUGCGAUCAAAACAAACCAAACAAAACAUCAAACACAUUAAUUCAACUUGUCACCCCGUGUGACCAAAACCAACAAACUCUACUCAAAAGAACACUGUUAAUCCUUUCUAAUGCGCACAACAAACUAGUGCUAGAGCCUCCCCCGAGAGUAGACAAGCCAACGUUUAGUCGUUAGAACGCUGACUUACACAUUCGUUCAUCAAACAAAACUCACAAAAUAUUCAUAGUAUCCCGAACUACGAAUGCUCUUAUUUCCUUAUUGCACCAUAAGGAUACAUAGGCAGGAGAUUGUUGUAUCUUCGUGAGCACACUAAUAAAAAAAACCUCUCAUUUCCCCUUCCUGAGGUCUUCAUCCAUAUCUAUUAUCAACUCUAAUUACUCGAAGAAAACAAACAACAUUCAGUUAACACUCAAAUCGCGAAAUUGAAGUAAAAGGUUCCCGUUGAGUACAACGGACGUGAGGGGUGCUAAUACCUUCCCCUUGCGUAAUCCACUCCUGAACCCGAAUAUGGUUGCGACGACCAUUAUUCCAUUUUCUUAAAGGUUUUCUCGAUAUUUUCCUAUUCCUUCUUUGGAAUGAAUAAAAUUCGGUGGAGACUCUAUUCGAACAUUUUUCCGCAUCCAAUCGCGAGGGAUCGCAUUUUUUUUUCGAGGUGCGACAGACUGGCGACUCUGCUGGGGACCCAUGCUCCAAGCAAGAGAGAGUGAAGCCUAACUUAGUUUAAUUUCUGUAUUGGGUGUUAAUCUUGUUUGUUUGUUUAUUACCUUUAGUCUAUCAUUAUUCUGUUGUAAUUAUUGUAUUGUGGUUUACUUCUUAUGAUACUAUUGGGAGUUCUCUGAUUAUGUGUACUGUGUGAGAUAGACUCUCUACCCGAGCCUGAGAAAAACCAUAAGUUUAAGUUGGUGGUUGCAUAGUGGACGCCCAUAAGGAGUCUUCCUUGUUUGGAAGAUGCGAAGACUCCGCCUAGAGGAGAUUCUCUUGAGAUACUAUUGUCCGACGAGCCUUCGUCACGACGAUGGUGUUUCAAGUUGGAUCAAUGACUCUAGGGACAUUUUAACCCACUAUCUGACGGUUAUGUAGUAUUAACCUACGAAGUUUCACACUUGUUGGGUUAAUACGAAAACCCCAAUCAGGUGAGAUCCCUUUGACGUAUUAUUACCUUACAGUAAUAUUUCCAACCUCGAUCUAUGACUCUGAGAACCUUAUUAGAACCUUGGACUCAAGAGUCGCAUAGUAGAAUCCCCAUGGAAUCUUCCUUGUUGGGACAAUACGAAGACCUCUCCUAAGAUGAGACUAUCUUAGGGGUAUUACUGUCCGACGAGUCUUCAUCACGGUAGUGAUGCUCUCGACGAGAAUCGAUGACUCUGGGAACCUAUUAACCUUAGGACUUACCCUUGGGAAUUUCAGUAAUCAGAGAAACCUAUACUUCCUCCUGUUAUCCUGAUGUACACGACGUGUGAAUGAUCUUGAGUAUUGGCAUUCCUUUGCGAAAAAUGGCAAAAAUUCAUGCAUUUGCAUAUCAUAAACAUGCAUUGCAUAUCAUCUUCCAGAGACAAAAACUUACACCAUAUUCUACCCUUUGUCCAGUAACACUGACUACUCGACACCGGUACGAGACACGCUGCAACUACAGGAUGACACUCGAACAACUUGGAGCAAACCAGGUUUCAAUGAGGACAGACAUCGACUCCAUGCAAGCGAAGAUGGACCGUUUACUUGAAACUCUAUUGCUCCUAGCCCAGAAGGAAAAGGAUGCCGAGACUAGCGCCGAAGCCAGAAAAGUUGCCGCUCAGUUUGGAUCACCAUCGCUUAGCAUCCUUGGAGUGACUGACCUUGAUGGUAACCUUGCCCAUCCUAAAGAAGGACCCAUCCCUAUUCAUGUUCCCAUGGUCAAUAUAAACCCCCAUGAGCCUUCCGCUACAACUGCUCGACAUGGAUCCAUGAUGGGUGAUGAAGAUCCAUAUGACGCUUUCUUCAUGCCAUAACCCACCAAACCUGCUGUUGGAAGUCUCCUAGACCCAGCUGUUGAGAGACUCCAUGCUCUGGAAGAGAAGUUUAAGUCCUUGGAGGUUCACACUACUCCCGAUUUGGACGUUGUUGACAUGUGCUUGGUACCAGGCCCCGUGAUUCCGCAAAAGUUCAAGGUCCCGGACUUUGACAAGUAUAAAGGGAUUAGCUGCCCGAGAACUCAUCUCAGAGCUUAUUGUCGCAAGAUGGCUGCACACAUCAGUAAUGAUCAACUCCUGAUUCAUUACUUCCAAGAUAGCCUCAAUGGGGCAUCCUUGGAGUGGUAUAUGCAGCUAGAGAGAGGACAAGUCCAGUCAUGGAGAGAUCUUGCUGAAGCUUUCCUUAAGCAUUAUCAGUACAACACUGAUCUAGCGCCCAAUCGCACCCAGCUGCAGGACAUGACUCAGCGUAAUAACGAGUCAUUCAAGGAAUACACACAACGUUGGAGAGAGCUAGCACCUCGUGUCCAACCUCCUCUUCUUGACAAAGAAAUAAUUGAUAUGUUUAUGGGAAUUUUUCAUACUCAAUAUAUGGAGAAAAUGGUAGGAUCCAGUUUCCCAACUUUUGCUGAGGUUGCCUCUGUGGGAGAAUGAAUCGAGAGCCAGAUCAAGAAGGGAAAUCUACCUUGCGCUGCCAAUGCUUCAAGUGGGAUAAAGAAACCCUAUCCUAAUCUCCCAAAGAAGCCAGAAGGUCAGACCAAUGCCAUAAUGAGAGGAGGAGGAUAUUGGACACAUCCAUAUGCUCCUGUGCCUUACCAUCAGGUUGUCGCUGUCAUCCCAACACCAUAUCAGCCACCAUAUCAACAACCAUAUCAAUAGUCCUAUCAACAACCAGCUUACCAGUAGCCACAUCAUAAUCAACAACAACGUGCUCCACCGCAACGUCAACCUAACCAGCAGGGGGCAAGGAGACCAGAAAGACAUUUUGAUCCUUUGCCAGUACCAUACAGCAAGAUCCUUCCCUACCUGCUAAAGGAUGGAUCAAUUGUUUUGAAGGAGCUAACACCUGCAACUCUUCCCUAUCCACCAGGCUAUGACGCCAAUGCUCACUGCGAGUAUCAUAUGGGUGCCCCAGGGCAUACAGUAGAAAAUUGCAAGGCCUUCAAGCACAAUGUCCAGAACCUGAUUGACAGUAAGGAAGUUACUUUCACGCCAGUUAGGCCAAAUGUUGCAACAAAUCCCAUGCCAGCGUAUGCAGAGUCGAGUGAAGCUCGAAGAUAAAACUUCCCACCGGCCUGGACAAGCAGAGCAAUUCCGCCAGUGGAUCAAAAGAUGAAGGCCCGUUUCUUUGAAUGAAGGCGAUCAUUAUGCCAUUUUUACCCUUUCACAUUCUUGUAAUUUGUUCUUGUUUGUCUAAGUACUGUAUUGCUUUAAACAUUGUUAUUUGUAUUUGGUCUUAUUAAUGGGAUGAUUAUGCAUGAUUUGAAUCAAUCUUUCAUAUUCACUCAUCAAUCACAUUUGCGAAACACAAACACAGACUUUUCCACUUCACCUUCUUUAUCACACUAUUGUUAGUAAAUGUUGGAAGGAGGAUGACGAAAACGAAAUACCCAUAAUUGCUGAUUGUAUGCUUUCGGAUAAAAUCCUACUAAUGAUGUACAUGCAUUGUUUCAAAUCCCCAAAUACUGGAGAGAUAAGGAGUUAAUCCCUAGUCAACCACUUUGAGCCUAGAAGUAGGAGUUUCUUUCAGAUCUACAAACCCUUACGCUUAACCUAGGGUAUGUCGCAUCCGCGAAAAACAACCGGCGGGCAAAAACAAAACAAACAGAGCCGCCACCGUGUGUUAUUUAUCCCAAAGAGGGAAAGGAAAUGCUCGAAGUAAACCUGGAAAAGACAUGGUCUCGUGACCAAAGAGAGAUGGGAUCGGGAGUCGGUUAUGCGAAGGGAAGGUAUUAGCACCCUAGCGCAUCCUGAUAGCGGGAUCACGCUCAGAAAGAAGAAAAGAAGUUGCAACGCUGCCUCAAAAGAAUGCACACACACUGCGAAACAACACAGUGAAGAAACAGGAAACGGGCUCGCUAGGAUAUCGCAUCCUAUGCCUACGUAUCUCAUCUGGAAUGAGAAUCAGAGCUACCGUAGUUCGGCUCACGCACGCCGAAACAAAACACACGCACAGACGCUGAGACGUCAAAUCAAACACGCAAACGGAAACUGAAUGCCAAUCGCUGGACUUACAUCAGACUCCGAACCAACAAACAUACACAGGAAACCAACUGCCAAUCACUGGACUUACGUCGGACUCCACACAAACAAACACCAAUAGGAUACGGACUGCCAAUCGCUGGUCUUACAUCCAUAUCCUAACACACACAAGAAGGUUAACCAACAAAACAAGUUACUAAGGAGUCUGGCACUCGAGCCUAGUAACUUUCAAGCAAACACACGCAAAAAGAAAAAGGGUCCCCGGAGAGAUCUCGUACGACCUCCUGCCUACGUACCUCAUCUGGUAUAAGGAUCAGGGCAAUGUAGUUCCCCUUAACAGGGGAGAAACUUUCUCCUAACCAGAGACUGGGAAAUGACAAACUAGAAGGGAGACUGACUCGAGCCUAAUAGUUAUCAUGUAAUCCACCAUGGUCCUAGGUUGAGGUUUCUANNNNNNNNNNNNNNNNNNNNNNNNNNNNNNNNNNNNNNNNNNNNNNNNNNNNNNNNNNNNNNNNNNNNNAUAAACAAACACAAGCAUUGCCUCUUAAGGAGGGCUUCAGACAGGUGCCUGCCCAAGUAACAGGACAGGUCUUCCAGACUACAUGAAGUCAGAGAGUUAUACCUAUGUGGUUAAGCAACCAAGCAAAAGCAAGUUCAAAUUGAACUUAAGCAACUUAUGUACCUGUUGAAACAUCACACAAGUCAGUACACAACUCAGACAAUCAAACAACAAUCAAUAUCAACAGUCAAACCCAAUAGGCAAAGGCAUAAGCUACAACUCAAACUCAAAUGAGUUAGCAACCCUACAAAACACACAAUGUUAGUAGUCAAAAGCAAGCAUCAAAUGCUCAAGUGAGAUUGCAUCAUGAACCAUAUAACCUGGAUGUUCAACCUGAAAUCAAAGCUCAAAGAUGAGACAAACCACUAGGUCAAGGCCUAGGGUCAAAGAGGGAGAAAAAAUUCAGAACAGAACAUGAAAAUUGACAUGAAUCAACUUCAAUCAAUCAAGAACAUCAUCCAAAAAGUCCCACAUCAAUAUCAUUCACCAAUUUCAUUUCAUGAACAAAAUAUGGAAAGAUAUGCACAUUGUAACCACAUUGAGACAACAGAAUGAACAAAUGCCCAAUAAAUCAAAUAUUAUUCAAUUAAUUUUGGGAAAUAUCAUGGGUAAACAGAACAAACAACAUGAUCAAAACACCAAAAAUCAAGGCAUUUGGACAAGUUUAAGCAUGGUAAUCAAAUUCAUCAAGUCAAAGCAAGCACAAACAAGCUCAAAUGAGGCACCAAAUGCUACAUCAACUUAGCACAAGCCUAAAACAGAAAUGGUAAAAGAUAAAAACCUCAAACCAAAGCCAAAACCACAUUCAACAUGUCUAGAAUUAGUGUGCAAAAUGUCAUAUCCAUAGGAUAAAGCACAAGCAUUUCACAAACAAAUGAAAAUCAUGACUAUUCAAAAGUUCACAAAUGAUCAUCCAGAAUGAAAAAUCUCAAUCAAAUCAGAAAUCAAUCCAAAAAUUCCACAAAAUAUCAUGAGCAUUCACAACAUUCAUAUCAAGCACCAUACAAAAAAUCACAUCAAUUGGAGUUUAUUUGGCAUGGCAAAGAAAUCCAUCAAGUUGAGCAUCACAAGGUGUGACACAAAUUGUCACACCUAACUUAGAAAAACCAUAACUCAGCAAUGGCAAUUGAUAAAAAUGCAAACUCAACACCAAAAUGUCCAGCAAGAUGUCUAGUUUAAGCAUGUAAAAUUUUAUGAGCAUUGGAUAAGAAUUGAGCAUUUCACAAUUGAUAUAUCAAAGCAAUGUCAAAACAUGACAUGUAUACACAAACCCUAGCACAAAAAAUUAUACAACCAUGCAUAAUUUCUGGAAAAAUAAUAAAAAAAAACUAGACACAAAAUGUGACCUAAUGCAAAAACAACCAUAUUUUUUGGAUCAAUAUUUAAUUUGUUUUGAUUUUUUAAAGUUGAAGAAAAAUUAAAAUCAUGUGAAACAAGUAGGAAAAGGCAUGGAAAUAAAUAUGAAAUGAGCACUUGAAAAAAAAUGCCCAGCCAAGAUUCGAACUGCCUGCAUAUUUGAACCUGAAUUGGCGCGCUACAUGGCAAAUCCAUGCAGCCAAUCAGCGCCUUGCCCUAGCGCAUGCCUAUGGCAACGAUUUUGAACCGUGGCCAAAAAGUGUCUUCAUCUUCUUCAGCAAAGCACGCAUGCAUGAACAGUACAAGUUCAACAUCAUCAUGAACAAUAUUCUCAGUUUUUGAAAUUAAGCACAUGUAUAGCUAGGUCUUUCAAUGUAUAACAACAAUCCACAAUUAAUUUAACCAAAAACAUCAUGAACAAUGAGAAUCAAUCAACUUAAGUUUCAUGCAUAGAACUUUAAAUCACCACAACUCACUCAAUAAUGCACGGUUUUCAGUGGUUCAAAGCUCAGCAUGCUCACACAAACAAGAUCUACAAGUCUAGCACAACAAUUUCAAGAAAAGAGAGACUCGAAAUUUUGACCUCUUGAUGAGCAACACGGUUUUCAGUGGUUCAAAGCUCAGCAUGCUCACACAAACAAGAUCUACAAGUCUAGCACAACAAUUUCAAGAAAAGAGAGACUCGAAAUUUUGACCUCUUGAUGAGCAACUUUCGAUUCGUGUGAUUUCAACGCCUUGCAAUGCUUCCAAUGUGUUCUAGCAAGCUUGUAUAGGUGUAUGGAUGAAGUCUUGAUAUUCAAUUGAGCUUGUUUCAACAGAUUUUGAAUUCCACCAUUGAUGAUCUUCAAGCUUGCAUAGGCUUCAAACUCCAUGAAUUCAUGUGAUUCUUGCUUGCAUCUUGCUCUAUGAUGAUGCUAGAUGAUGAAUUUGGCUAGGAAAAUGCAAAGUGUCUGAAGAAAUUUUGAGAAAAAAGUGAGAGAGAAAUUUGAGAGACUUUGAGAAUUCUAGAUCUAGAAUUGGAAAAUGUGAAAAUUCUGUUAUGAUUUGUGUUAUAUAUGCUUCACUAAUCAUGAUUAAUUAAAUUAAACCAAGUGCUAAUGAAAAAUGGUUAAUUUGGAGGUGUUUUGCAAAAAUUGGGAUUUCACCCUUAUGCAUGGGAUGCAUGUGAAUAGUGCACGUUUUUGGCCUUGAUUUCACUCAAAAUAAUGUUUUAAGGCCAAUGGUGAUAGUAGCAUGUGCAAAUAAUGCACACAUUUUGAAUUCUAUUUUUCCCUCCAAAAAUGCAUUGAAUUUUCAACUAUUUAUGUGAAUGGAAUGCAUGUCAUGUAAUGCCAAAUUUGGAAACUAGAGGUUAAAAGGAGAAUGUUGCAAAAAGAGCCAUCUCAUUUGGACAUUUGGUGUGAAAGUUAUGCCCCUUUGAAGUUCCAUGUUCAUUUGACCAAGAUUGAUCCAUAUCUCUUCAACCAUACAUGAGAAAUUCAUGAUCUUGGACUUUUUGGAAAUGGGAGAACAAGAUCUACAACUUUCAUUUCACAAAUUCAUUUGAAAGCUUUCUUGAUGAUGUUAUUUGAGGAGAAAACCUUUCCAUUCUUUGGCAAUUUUGAAUUUACAAGUCACUUUGUCUAUUUUUGCGAAAUUUUGGUCCGUGACUUUAUUUUCUUCAAUGUUGAUGUUUGAAAUGUCAAAUGAGACUUGUUUGAACAUGAAUGAAGUAUUUCUAACCACUUCCCACCUCCAAAUCCAACAGUUGACUUGUGGUUGACUUUUUUCAGUUGAUAGAUGACUUGAUCAUGCACAGAUGAAUUUGAGCCUCAAUCCCUUGAUGAAAUGGCUCCAAAAUGAAACCCUAGCUUAUACAAGCUCAAUAAAAUCAUAGGAUGAUCCCCAUCUCAUGAAAGACCUCAUCUCUUUGACAAACCCUGAUUGGCACAAUACAACUGAUUAGGAUUGACCAGAGGUCAAAACCCUAAUCCCAAGGAAUCUGAUCAGGCACAAUGAACCUCUUGGUGAUGAUAAGACCAUGAUGAUGGUGAUGUACCAUUCCAAUCCAAGAUAAUGAUCAAUCUCCUUGAGGAACCAAUAAACCCUAAUUGAAGCACAAACCCUCAGAUGGCUAGUGAUCAAUUCAUUAAGACUCUCAGGCUUGAAUCUUUUAACCUCUCUAUCUUCUGAGAAAGACUUAGGAGGAUGACUUGCUCAAUGUUUCCACAUGAUAUGCAAUAUGCAAUGACUAAUGCCCUAAAGAUGAAAAUGCAAUAUGCAAAGCUAGUCCCAAAAGAGGAGGGAAAAUUUUGAGGUGUUGCAUAAUUGCUGAUUGUAUGCUUUCGGAUAAAAUCCUACUAAUGAUGUACAUGCAUUGUUUCAAAUCCCCAAACACUAGAGAGAUAAGGAGUUAAUCCCUAGUCAACCACUUUGAGCCUAGAAGUAGGAGUUUCUUUCAGAUCUACAAACCCUUACGCUUAACCUAGGGUAGGGUAGUGUUCAGUUAACCUGACUACACAUUCGAAUUACAAGAUGAAAUAUUCCAUACAAGGAUCAAUCACAUGAUAUUUUUCGCACACAUCCUGAAGUGUCGAAGGAACUAUACAAAUCCAAAUUUUAUGACAGUUGUUCUUCAUUGACCAAUGACUUGGCAGUCACAAUUUUCAAAAAAAUCAAAUCAAAAAAGCCCGCUAAGUCCAACACCCUAAAAGGAGACUUAGGCAAAAACUGGGGCAAUCCCGAUGGAUUAAAGCUUCAAAAGGCGGUCCAUGCAAAAUUAGGGAUCAAAGCAAAAAUCGAGAGAGGCCAUGAAAGUCCUCAACAAAGAAAAACAAUAACCAGUGACCACCAUACCCAAGUCAAAAGGUCGCCAACAUCCAUGAAGAGAAAAAAUAGGAUGACUGUCAAGGGAUUGUACACUGCUGAACUCUCGCAAAAGUAAGUGUGUGCCGAAUUAACUGAACGUAGGAUUGGAGAUCAUUGUGAAAAAGGGGUGGGUUAAAAUAAACUUUGAGCCUUAUAUCCUUUUGUUUCAAAAAACCAUGAACCAAGCCACGUUACAACCCUCAAAAGACCUAAUUGAAGUAGGGUUUAUUCUGAAAGCAUACUACAACAAGGUUGCGUAAACUGACUCCUAGAGAUUUGCUAAUAUUCUAUUCUCACUAUAUCACUCACACGCCAGCUAAAAUCAACACCGUGUUUGGACACAUGGUCCACUCGUCACACACUACCACAAUACUCCCAAGUGAAUGAUUGUUUUUCAAAACUUACAUAACUAUUGCAUUAACAUCACCAUUUCUUGGAUAUGAGAUGUCGAAAUUCUGGUAUCAGAUAUGAGAUGUCAAAGGUAAUGUCACGACACUAAUAUCUGAACAAUACGAACAGGAUAAAAGAUAAAGAACAGUAAUGCAAGAGACACAAGCAAUUGUUAACCCAGUUUGGUGCAAACUCACCUACGUCUGGGGGCUACCAAGCCAGGAAGGAAAUCCACUAAACAAAAUCAGUUCAAAGACUCUCAGUAAACAACUUCAAGUUACAGCCUUUUCACCUAAUCUCUACCCGUGUGACUUCUACCUAAGAACUCUUAGAUAUGAGAUCCUACUCACUCCCCCUCAAUCACAACAGUGAUAUAAAACAAGAAUUACAAUGAAAAGAAGACACUCUUCAAAGAAUCACCUAAUCUCUACCCGUGUGACUUCUACCUAAGAACUCUUAGAUAUGAGAUCCUACUCACUCCCCCUCAAUCACAACAGUGAUAUAAAACAAGAAUUACAAUGAAAAGAAGACACUCUUCAAAGAGACAUACUUGAUCUUACUUAAAAGCUUCAAUCAAGUAAACACACACUCAUGCUUCAAAUCUUAUAGUGGACAAAUUAUAACUCAAAAAUCAGUCCAAUUCAAUCAUCUAUGGAUGAAUGAAUGACUUACAAUACACACGACCACACAAGACUAAAACCCUUAUUCUCUCUCAAUUUUUCGUUCGUUAUUUCUUGUGUAUAAAACCAAGUUUUCCAUGCCCUAUUUAUAGAAUCGUUUGGCUGGGCUUGGACAUCAUAAAACCCUAAAACUAUUUUCCAUUCAUAUCUUCUCAUGAUAGCUGAUUAUAUCUUGUUGGAAAAUAAGUCAAUCUAGUUGUAAUUACUGAUUGAGAGCAUGUUUAAUCAUCUCUUCAAUCAUACAUAGAUUAGCAUUAAAAACACAAUCACACAAUACAUAACAUUAAGACUGAAUGUUCUGUAUACAGAUGUCAUGACAUCGGGUCUGACAUCUCAGUAAAAUCCUGCAUAUUCACAUUUUAAACAUCCUGCAGGUACAUGUUAUCUUAUGUCAAGACAACACUUGUGACAUCACUGACAUCUCAGUAAAAUCCUGCAUAUUCACAUUUUAAACAUCCUGCAGGUACAUGUUAUCUUAUGUCAAGACAACACUUGUGACAUCUUGUGAACACUCUAGGUUUUACCAAAAUUGCUGCCAACAUAUAGAACCAACAAACUCCCCCUUUGGCAAAUUUUGGCUAAAACAUACAUCAGUCCAUUUGUUCACAAGAGUACAAAAAAACAUAUCAACAGUUUAACAGCAGAAGUAAUAAACCACACAUUUACUAGCUAUCAUAGCAACUAGUAAACACACAUAACACAUAUAUGUGCUUCUUCUCCCCCUCAGUCUGUUCAACACAGACAUCUCCUUCAACAACACCUGUAACAUCCAUCACUCCAUCUGACAUCUCCUUCAACAUCACCUAUACAACACAGAACAUCAUUAUGUUCAACAUCAGCUGUCAUCUGUUUAUAGCCUAGCUACUUCAUAGCACAUAUUAACUGCAGCUCUCCUCUACAGCUCUCCCUUUAGCUACUACUUCUCCCCCUUUUUAGUCAAAAUAGACCAAAGAGACCAAUGAGACAAAAUAAAUGUCUAUUAGUCCAACAGAGAAUGUCACAUAGAAUAUUAUAACAUAUAGAAUGUUAAAACAUAUUGCCAGGUGUUACAGAACCAUAAUUAUACACAGCUAUAUCAGCUGAGAUAAAAAGAAAUCCAAAGAACCCAAAAAUUACAUCAUGGCAUCAAAACAAGACUGCCAGAAAAAACAUCAAACAACACAUCAUCAUAACAGGGGGAACCAUCCUCACCACAACUCAGUCUGAGGAUCUAGCAUCUUCAUCAGCUUCAGAUCCAGAACUGUCACUUGAUUUAUCUUGAGAUUCAGACCUCUCACUUGAGACGUGGGCAUCUGUAUCCUUGGCUUGACCAAUAUUAUCCAUGUCUCCUUGCUCCAAGCUAUUAAUCAGAACCUCCGGAGCUUCUUUCCUAGCUUUAGCCACCCUAAUCCCAGUCUCCAAUUCCUUAUAGGUCUCUUUCAGUUCAGCAAUCAGGCCACCUUGAGAGGUUGGCUUCUUCAUAGCAGAUGUCAUGACAAUGUCAUUGACUUGACUGCCUUUAAAUAACUUGUAAUGAACUGACAAUGGAGGUUUUCUUCUACUAGGGAUAUCACUUGUGCUCAGUAUUCCAGGUUGUUGGCUUAGGAUUAUCCCACAAAUUAUUGAGGGAAACGCAAUGGGCAGCUUCACUGCUUUUGUGGAAGCAUGUUUGACAAUUUGUUCAAACAUGAACCUUCCAUGAUCAAAAUUAAGCUUGGUUCCAAUAGCAAAUAUGAUCCUCCCAAGAGCAUUAGAGAUUAUAGAGAUAUGGUUUGUUGGUACCCAGUUUGUUGACCCUAUCUUAUGCAAGAUAACAUAUUUCACAGUUAAUUUACCAGCAGAGAGAUACUUUUUUCUUGGCCACUCCUUGACCUGUCCAGCAGUUAUCGUCCUACAGACCUCAUUGUCUGUGGCCUCUAAUUCAACAACACCUUCUGUUCCUCUUCCUAGAAGCUUAUUGAUCACAGUAGGAGAAAACUUCACACACUUUCCUCUAACAAACACCUUGUAAAACUCUUUGUUGUUCUUGUCAGCAAUGUCCUCAGGGAUGUUCACCACAAACUCUUUAACAAGACCUUUAAAACAUUGAGAUAACCCACUAACUGUUUUCAUUAAACCAGCAGACUUGAUCAGGUCCAUGACCUCCUUAACUUCCACAACAUCCUUUCCCAGUUUUCUUUCCACAGCUACUCUCCUUUGGAUUACAAAUUUCCACUUGGCUGCACCAUCUUCCAGAUGGAAGGAAAUGUUAUCCAAAUGCACAGCAGCAACCUUAGCAGGGGAUUUUCUAACAUUUGACCUUUUGACAGGAGAGAUGUCUAGGACAUUAUCUUCAACAUCUUCCUCUGAAUCAGAAAUUUCUCUUACCUUUCUCUUCUUUACCUCCACUUUACUCCAAGACUUUGAAGGGCCUACAGCAGUAGCCUUCUUACCAGUUUUGGCUGUCAUCAUCUCAGCCACAGACCUACCCUUUCUGGUCUUCAUCCUUUUAGCAACACUUGGCUUCAAGUGAUGAAGCAAGCUAUCAUCUUCCACGUCUGAGCUUUCAUCGUCCAAGUCAAUCACCUUCUUACCAGAGUCAUGCUUCUGAGAAGCAUCUACAGAUUUCUUACUAGGCAAGGUUUACCCUAAAGAACACAGUCCUUCUGCAGCAAUAUCUUUCUCAAACCUAGAUGAGUCAUCAUCUUUCUCAUUGUGAGGUUCAACCUCAGGAGAAGGGUCCCUUCUAGACAGAGGACUAGACACUCCCUUUACCGAGUGUUCUUCAUUUAGGAUCCUCGAGACAAGAUUUCUAAUGACACGAUCAGUAUGAUACAUGUCAUCUUUAGAGGUAGGGUUAUCAGAACUGUUACCUUGAGUAUAUCCAGUAGUGGAGGAUGGACCAGGAGCGUCGCUUGGGAUGACUGAUAGGGGAAUCACUUCCAAAAUGUCCUCAUAAAGAAAAUCUAUGGAUGGUGUUCUUGCUUUGUGUACAAGUUUGGUGUUUUUAGAACUAGAAGAUGAAGGAUGUUGUGACAUCUUGUUGAGCUUGUGAAAGAAUUUUUGUUGCCCUAGUAGAGAUGGUCGAUAAAAUUUGAGGAAGAUGGAAGUGGUUGAGCUGAGGUUGCGUGUGAAAAUGCUAUAGAUGAUAGUUUAUAUACUAGGUAAUGAUUUACCAUAAAUGAGGCCCUUUCUUUUAAGUGGGAAGAUAAUAUUCUUAUUACCUUUUCCACUCCAAAUUAAUUGCUAUAAAUUCUCACGGAUACAAAUCCCUAAUUUCCCUCUUAAACAUUCAAAUUGAUUAGCAUCCAAAGCCUUUGUAAAUAUGUCAGCUAAUUGCAUUUCAGUAGUAACAUGCUCCAGGGCUAUGAUUUUCUCUUCCACUAGAUUGAUUAGCAUCCAAAGCCUUUGUAAAUAUGUCAGCUAAUUGCAUUUCAGUAGUAACAUGCUCCAGGGCUAUGAUUUUCUCUUCCACUAGUUCUCUAAUAAAGUGAUGACGAAUAUCAAUGUGUUUUAUCCUGCUGUGCUGAAUAGGAUUCUUAGAAAUAUUUAUAGCACUUAGGUUGUCACAGUACAAUGUCAUGACAUCUUGUGUGACAUUGUAUUCAGUCAACAUUUGUUUCAUCCAAACCAGUUGAGAACAACUACUCCCAACUGCUAUGUAUUCAGCUUCAGCAAUGGAUAGGGACACACAAUUUUGUUUCUUACUAAACCAUGAUAUUAAGUUGUUCCCCAAGAAGUAACAUCCUCCUGAUGUGCUUUUUCUAUCAUCAGCACUUCCAGCCCAGUCAGCAUCACAAUAUCCAGUCAGCAUAGAUCCAGAUCCAUGAGUAUAUAAUAUCCCAUAGUCACCGGUGCCAUUGACAUAUUUCAGUAUCCUCUUCACUUGGUUUAUGUGACUGACUUUUAGUUCAACUUGAUAUCUAGGACAAACACCUACAACAAAAGCAAUGUCAGGUCUGCUUGCUGUGAGAUAUAGCAAACUUCCUAUCAUGCUUCUGUAGAGACUUUGAUCUACACUAACACCAUUUUCAUCUUUGGAGACUUUCAGAUGUGUAGGAGCAGGUGUUCUUUUAUGACUUGCAUUCUCCAUGCCAAACUUCUUAACAAUGUUUUUGGCAUAUUUGCUUUGAGAUAGAAAGAUAGAAUCUUCCAUCUGCUUGACUUGUAGCCCAAGAAAAUAGGUCAGCUCUCCAACAAGGCUCAUCUCAAAUUCAGACUACAUUUAUUUAACAAAAUGUUCGACCAUCUGAUCUGACAUCCCACCAAACACAAUAUCAUCCACAUAUAUUUGAGCCACCAUGAGUUUUCCUCCUUCAUUCUUAACAAAUAAGGUUUUGUCAAUACCUCCCUUCCUGUAUCCAUUGUUAGUGAGGAACACUGUGAGUCUAUCAUACCAAGCCCUAGGAGCUUGUUUCAAGCCAUAGAGGGCUUUCCUCAACUUGUACACAUGCUUUGGAUAUGUGAAUCCUUUAGGUUGUUCAACAUAUACUUCCUCAUUUAAGUAGCCAUUCAAGAAGGCACUUUUUACAUCCAUUUGAAACAGUUUGAACUUCAGAAUACAUGUCACUCCAAGCAAUAGUCUAAUGGACUCAAGGCGAGCUACAGGGGCAAAUGUUUCAUCAAAAUCCACUCCUUCAACUUGAGUGUAUCCUUGUGCUACUAAUCUUUCUUUAUUUUUAGUAACCACCCCUUGUUCAUCAGAUUUAUUCUUAUACACCCACUUUGUUCCUAUGACAUUUAUUCCUUCCGGUCUUGGAACCAGUUCCCACACUUCAUUUCUCUUGAAUUGGCCUAACUCUUCAUGCAUGGCAUUGAUCCAGAACUCAUCAGUCAAGGCUUCCUUGACAUUCCUAGGCUCAAUCUUGGACACAAAACACCCAUGUGAGAUCACUUCCCUGACUAAGUUGUGACGCCCUUUACUUUGGGUCUUAUAUGAGAUCUUUAUGGAUGAUCCUUCUGAAGUUCCUGAGGGGGGUCCCUUGUUGAUUUGUGUCAGUUCAGGUUCGCUUGAGAGGUUCAUCUAUUAUUUUUUCGUGGUAAUCAGCUGGGCAUCAUUUUAGAAGAUGUCUCAACAUCGUCCUGUAAUCAUCAGUUGUUGAUUCAUCACUCACAACAUUGAUAGAUUCCAUCAUUACUUUUGUUCUGGAAUUAAAGACUCUAUAUGCUCUGUUGUUUGUUGAGUAGCCCAGAAAUAUUCCUUCAUCACUUUUGGGAUCCAUCUUCCUUCUUUGUUCAUGAUCAGUCAAGAUAUAACAUUUACUACCAAACACAUGGAAGUAUUUGACUGUAGGUCUUAUCCCUUUCCAGACUUCAUAUAAGGUAGUAGGAGUCCCUUUCUUCAAGGUUACUCUGUUGUGAACAUAGCAGGUUGUGUUCAUAGCUUCAGCCUAGAAGUGGUAGGGAAAUUUCUUGGCAUGAAUCACAGCUCUGGCUGAUUCUUGGAGAGUUCUAUUUUUCCUUUCUACCACACCAUUUUGAUGGGGAGUAAUGGGAGAUGAGAACUCAUGGCUAAUUCCUUCUGAUGCACAGAAUUCAGCAAAUUUGUUGUUUUCAAAUUCCUUCCCAUGAUCACUUAUGAUUUUGAUAACUUGACUUUCCUUUUCUCUUUGAAGUCUUAGACAAAGAUCUUUGAAGAUUUCAAAUACAUCAGACUUUUCUCUUAUAAAAUUGACCCAGGUGUAUCUGGAGAAGUCAUCCACCACUACAUAGGCAUACUUCUUCCCACCAAGGAUUUCCACCUGCAUGGGUCCCAUCAAAUCCAUAUGGAGGAGUUCCAGCACUCUGGAAGUGGUGUCAUGUUUAAGCUUCUGGUGUGACAUCUUUGUCUGUUUUCCAAUCUGACAUUCCCCACAAACUCUUCCUUCAUCAAUCUUCAAAAUGGGAAUUCCUCUAACAGCUUCAACAGAUAUAAUCCUCUUCAUUCCUUUAAGAUGCACAUGGCCCAAUCUUUGAUGCCAUAUCUUCACUUCUUCUUCUUUGGCUAGAGUACACAUUGAGGAAUAACCAGUUUCUUGAGAACUCCAUAUAUAGAAGUUGUCUUUAGACCUAACUCCUUUCAUGAUCACUUCAUUUUCUUUAUUAGUAAUCAGACAUUCAGUUUUUAUGAAGUUUACAGUUAGACCUUGGUCACAUAGUUGACUGAUGCUUAUUAGGUUUGCAGUCAGUCCCUUAACAAGUAGGACAUUGUCAAGAUUAGGAACUCCAGGGCAGUUAAGCUUACCAAUCCCCUUGAUCUCACCCUUUUCUCCAUCACCAAAGGUUACAUAGCUGGUGGCAUGAGGAUGAAGGCCAGUUAGCAGGUUUUUGUUUCCAAUCAUGUGUCUGGAGCACCCACUGUUAAAAUACUAGUCUUCUUUGGCUGAAACUCUGAAGGAAGUGUGAGCUAUCAAGUUUGUAACAACAGUCCUAGGAACCCAUUGUUUUUUGUUGACAGGUAUGUGAUGUUUGGGUCUAGGUUGAUGAUGAGAAGGACUAGGAUAGCCAUAUAACUUAUAGCAGAAUGGUUUUAUGUGGCCAAAUUUUCCACAGUAAUGACAUCUCCAUCUUUGAUAUUUCCCUUUCUGCUGUCUUCCUUUAUGAUGUUGUGACAUCUCUGGUUUGCUACCAGUGUGACUGCACCUAGGUUUAGAUUUAGGUUUGCUACCAGUGUGACUGCAUUCAGGUUUAGAUUCAUUGAACCUAAUGCUAGACUUGUCUCCUGCCAUUUGUCCAGUCUGGAGAAUUUUGUCUAAGGUGUCAGUUCCAUUGUUCAGCAUUCUGACAUACUUUGUCAUCUCAUCCAGUUUAGAAUUCAAGAAUACUGCUUCAGUUUUUAACUUAGAGAUGGUUUCCAAAUGUUCUGCCUUUUCAUUCUCCAACUGUGCUAUCACUUUCUUCUGACUUUCAACUUGUUGACACACUUCUUCACUUCUGUGACACAGCUUUCUGUAGGUAGUCGCUAACUCAUCAAAGGUCACUUCAUCAUCACUUGAGUCUUCAUCAGAACCCCAUCUUCCAGUCAAGGCAGUCACAAGAUUUGCAGACUCUUAUGUUUCACUUUCAUCAGACCAAGUAGAAGUAAGACUCUUCUUCUGUUUCUUGAGGUAGGUUCCACAUUCAGUUCUAAUGUGUCCAUACCCAUCAUAUUCAUGGCACUGAACUCCUUUUCCUUCUUUGGGCUUUUCAUCUGAUCUAGUUCUUCUUCCAGAAUUGUUGGAUUUACUGAUGUCAGAUGAGAUAUUCUUGACAUUAGCCUUAGACCUUACAUCCAUCUUUUUUAGAAGUCUGUUGAACUGUCUUCCCAACAAUGCUACAUCAUAAUUUCCAGAUCUUCAUCAAUAUCUUGACCACUUUCCUCCUCUUUCUCCUCAGUGUUUUACAUGAAGGCUAUGCUUUUGACUUUCUUUUCAGAUCCAUCACACAUUCCCAUCUCAAAUGUUUUGAGGGAUCCAAUUAGCUCAUUAACUCUCAUAUUGGAAAUGUCUUGAGACUCUUCUAUGGUUGUCACUUUCAUGGCAAAUCUCUUAGGAAGUGACCUGAGUAUUUUCCUCACUAGUUUUUCAUCUGCCAUCUUCUCACCCAGGGCUCCUGAGGCAUUAGCAAUUUCAAGUAUAUUCAUAUGAAAUUCAUAAAUAUUUUCAUCUUCUUUCAUUCUUAAGUUUUCAAACUUGGUAGUGAGCAGCUGCAGUCUAGAGAUCUUCACUCUAGAGGUGCCUUCAUGAGUGGUUUUGAGAAUGUUCCAAGCAUCUUUAGCCACCUCACAGUUGUUUAUCAAUCUGAAGAUAUUUGUAUCUACUCCAUUGAAUAUAGAAUUCAAUUCUUUAGAGUUCCCAAGCUCUAGAUCAUCCUCCUCUUUGGUCCAUUGUUCCUCAGCCUUCUUAUCAGUUGUAGCUUCUCCAUCCUUAGUAAUCACUGGAUGUUCCCAGCCUGUUAAAACAGCCUUCCAAGCCUUGUUAUCCAGAGAUUUUAGGAAGGCUACAAUUAGAGGUUUCCAGUAGUCAUAGUUGGAUCCAUCCAGAAUAGGUGGUCUGUGAACAGAUCCUCCGUCUCUAUCCAUAGUACCAGAAAGUAACGUCCUUAGAUCUCACCCAGAACCAGAGCAUGAUGCCUGCUUUGAUACCAAUUGAAAUUCUGGUAUCAGAUAUGAGAUGUUGAAGGUAAUUUCACGACACUAAUAUCUGAACAAUACAAACAGGAUAACAGAUAAAGAACAGUAAUGCAAGAGACACAAGCAAUUGUUAACCCAGUUCGGUGCAAACUCACCUACGUCUGGGGGCUACCAAGCCAGGAAGGAAAUCCACUAAACAAAAUCAGUUCAAAGACUCUCAGUAAACAACUUCAAGUUACAGUCUUUUCACCUAAUCUCUACCCGUGUGACUUCUACCUAAGAACUCUUAGAUUUGAGAUCCUACUCACUCCCCCUCAAUCACAGCAACGAUAUAAAACAAGAAUUACAAUGAAAAGAAGACACUCUUCAAAGACACAUACUUGAUCUUACUUAAAAGCUUCAAUCAAGUAAACACACACUCAUGCUUCAAAGCUUAAAGUGGACAAAUUACAACUCAAAAAUCAGUUCAAUUCAAUCAUCUAUGGAUGAAUGAAUGGCUUAUAAUACACACGACCACACAAGACUAAAACCCUUAUUCUCUCUCAAUUUUUCGUUCGUUAUUUCUUGUGUAUAAAACCAAGUUUUCCAUGCCCUAUUUAUAGAAUCGUUUGGCUGGGCUUGGACAUCAUAAAACCCUAAAACUAUUUUCCAUUCAUAUCUUCUCAUGACAACUGAUUAUAUCUUGUUGGAAAAUAAGUCAAUCUAGUUGUAAUUACUGAUUGAGAGCGCGUCUAAUCAUCUCUUCAAUCAUACAUAGAUUAGCAUUAAAAAUGCAAUCACACAAUACAUAACAUUCAGACUGAAUGUUCUGUAUACAGAUGUCAUGACAUCGGGUCUGACAUCAGUCAUUUUAGGACGUAUAAGUGUAAAAUUUGUAGGACGUCCUACAUGUUAUCUUAUGUCAAGACAACACUUGUGACAUCUUGUGAACACUCUAGGUUUUACCAAAAUUGCUGCCAACACAUAGAACCAACACAAUAUAAGACAAAUCUCCAAGCAUCAGUGGAUGAGAGAGGAAAAACACUUCGAUACGUAGCCCGUCUGAGGCAAGUGUCUCAAAGGCUAAUCAGGGGAAGAUUGUUGCAAGAGUCAUACGUUGGAGAAAACAGACUCAAGCCAUGAGAUAAUCACUCCUAAAGGUUUCCUUUCAAGGAGGAUUCCUGUGAACACCCUACAGACUGGGGCAAGACAAGUUGCAAGAGGAAAAUUCCCUUCAUAUCUUCAAGCUAGUCAAGCAGAUUGUGUCAGACACUAGUGACUGCUUGAACUCACGAACAAAAACGUCGAAGGUUCAUACCAGUACAACAUCACAUCUUAACGAGAAUCCUAGUGGCACAUCAAAGGCAUGACCAUCAUGCAUUGAUCACGUCGCUAUGCUCAGUUACAGGCUAGCCAGACAUCUCAGAAGAAGAAGCCGAGAUCUUCUCAAAGACAAAUACACAAUAUAUCAACAAGAAAUCAAACUUGGGGCACCAAGAGUAUCCGCAUCUACUGCGUGUUCAUCACAUCAUCAACUACCGAGUGUCGGGAAGUCAGAUUCUCCCACCAAUCAAUAGCUCAAUCCACAUUGAGAAUGACUAGAAAAGACCAAAGUCCUCCUGGCUGGCACUAACACAAAAUCAAAUACAACCAGCACUAGUUUCCAGAAGAUACAUCGCCUUUGAAAAGGGGGGCCAAUCCCUAUCAAACCAAUCAUCAUUUGCAUUCAAACGUGCAUCACAUGUAUCCCAUGUAUCACCUCAUACAUAACACAUACAUAACAUUUAUUCAUAUAGCACAAAUCAAAAUCCAAGGUCUAGUCGUAGGCAUCCAGGCCAACCCUCAGUUGAGUCAUUGUCACUUCCUCUAAGUGAGUUCCUACCCUAUUAUCGGGCGUCCCCCAUUAAGUUACAUCCUUCAACCUUUUGUUGAUAAGGUAUUAUCCUCAGCUAAGUCAAACAUUGUUUCUUUAAACACCUACCUUGUUUCGCGUUGAGCGUCCCUCAAUGAGUUGUUUCCUAUAACCUUUUGUUGAUGAAAAUUACAUCUUUCUAGAGAACAUUUUUCUGCGACCUUUUGUUGUUGAUACCCCAAGCAAGUCUUACCCAGUAGUGUUCCAAUACUACCCAACAAGUCGGGUUUAUCGAGCUUUGUUAGUAGCCUUAUUUUUCUAUUAUUUCUCUCACUAUCAUCCUCUUGGUGAAAGUCCCUUGAUGAAUAAUGAUCAUCGCCCUAUUUACGAUAAUCGUUAUCCUUUUGGUAAUGGUAAAUCCUUGACAUUCGUGAUCUUACCGUCAUCCUUUUGGUGUCGGUGAUCCUUGAAGUUUUGUCCUAACCUUCAUCCUUUUGGUGAAUGGUGCCCUUUGCAAUUAUUAUAGCUUACCGUCAUCCUUUUGGUGUCAGCCAUCCUUGUGGUGACAGGGAUCCUUGUCAUUUUGGUUCAACCAUCACCCUUUUUUGAUGGUGAUCUCGGUUAUUAUGUUUAAUCAUCAUCCUUUUGGUGAUGACGUCCAGUUCAAUCUAAACAUCAUCCUUUUGGUGAUAGAGAUUACGGAGUUUGGUUUAAGCUAUCAUACUUUUGGUGAUGGUGACAUUUGGAAAGUCCAAUCCCACUGUCAUCCUUUUGGUGUCAUCAAUAUUUGAAGUUGUUAUAACUUAUUAUCAUCCUUUUGGUGGUAACAAGUUUCGAAGUUAUGAUCUACCCUUCAUCCUUUUGGUGAUGGUGAUCGUUGAUUCAUUAUCAUCCUUUUGGUGAUAACGAGUCCUGUUGUUUGUAGUACCUUCAUCCUUUUGGUGAUGGUGACUGUCGACUUAUUAUCAUCCUUUUGGUGAUAACAAGUUUUAUUGUUCGAUCCUACCUUCAUCCUUUUGGUGACGGUGAUCAGUAAAGGUUAUCGACAUAUUAUCAUCCUUUUGGUGGUAACGAAUUUGUUGUUUGAUCCUACCUUCAUACUUUUGGUGACGGUGACCAUUUGAGUUAUGGACUCAUUAUCAUCCUUUUGGUGAUAACGGGUUUUUAUUUUAUAUUACCUUCAUCCUUUUGGUGAUGGGGAUCCUUUGAGUUGUGUGACUUAUUAUCAUCCUUUUGGUGGUAACAAGUUGUGUUGUUAAUUUUACCUUCAUCCUUUUGGUGAUGGUUAUUGGUGACUUAUUAUCAUCCUUUUGGUAAUAAUAAGUUUUGAAGUUUUGUUCUCACCUUCAUCCUUUUGGUGAUGGUGAUCAUUUAAGUGGUUAUGACUUACUAUCAUCCUUUUGAUGAUAGCAGGUUUUGUUGUUUGACCUUACCUUCAUCCUUUUGGGGAUGGUGGUCAUUGAAGUUAUUUGACUUAUUAUCAUCCUUUUGGUGAUAACAGGUUUUGUUUUGAUCUUACCUUCAUCCUUUUGGUGAUGGUGAUCAUUUGAGUUAUUGACUUAUUAUCAUCCUUUUGGUGGUAACAAGUUUCGUUUUUGAUCUUACCUUCAUCCUUUUGGUGAUGGUGAUCAUUUAAAUCAUCGACUUAUUAUCAUCCUUUUGGUGGUAACGAGUUUUGUUGUUUAAUCCUACCUUCAUCCUUUUGGUGACGGUGACCAUUUGAGUUAUGGGCUCAUUGUCAUCCUUUUGGUGAUAAUGGGUUUUGUUUUGAUCUUACCCUCAUCCUUUUGGUGAUGGCGAUCAUUAAGUUUAUUUCGGCUUAUUAUCAUCCUUUUGGUGAUAACAAGUUUUGAAGUUCUGUCCUUAUUAUCAUCCUUUUGGUGAUAACAAGUUUUGUUUUUGAUCUUACCUUCAUCCUUUUGGUGAUGGUGAUCAUUUGAGUUGUUGACUUAUUAUCAUCUUUUUGGUGGUAACAAGUUUCGUCUUUUAUCUGACCUUCAUCCUUUUGGUGACGGUGAUCAUUGGUGAUUGUCGACUUAUUAUCAUCCUUUUGGUGGUAACAAGUUUGGUUGUUUAAUUGUACCUUCAUCCUUUUGGUGAUAGUGAUCAUUGAAGUUAUUUGACUUAUUAUCAUCCUUUUGGUGAUAACAAGUUUUGUUUGGUCUUACUUUCAUCCUUUUGAUGAUGGUGAUCAUUGAAGUCAUUUGACUUAUUAUCAUCCUUUUGGUGAUAACAGGUUUUGUUGCUGGAUCUUACCUUCAUCCUUUUGGUGACGGCGAUCUUUGAAGUUGAUGAGUUAACUAUCAUCCUUUUGGUGGUAGCCCUGAUAUUAUACUCUCGGUAAUGGGAAACUUUAUCAGAACGACCAUCAUCCUUUUUGGUGACGGACAUCGUCCUUUUGGUGAUGGAAACCUUUGGAUUGUGUCCAACUUUCAUCCUUUUGGUGAUAGCAAGAUUUGUUGUCGAUAUUACCAUCAUCCUUGUGGUGAUGGCGAUCUUUCUUGUAGCCACUGUAACCAUCAUCCUUUUGGUGAUGACUACCUUUGAAGCUCGGUUUAACCAUUAUCCUUUUGGUGAUGGACCUCAUCCUUUUGGUGAUGAUUCUUUUUAAAGCCCGGUUUAUCCAUCAUCCUUUUGGUGAUGAUGAUCCUGAAAAUCAUGGUGAAUUUCGGUCAUCCUUUUGGUGAUAUCAAUUAAUCCUACUGUCAUCCUUUCGGUGCCAGAAAACCUGUUCAAUUUUAGUCCCACAUUUGUCUUUACAUCAAUAACGACCUUUGCAAAGAUUUAAAUGUCGACUCGAGGGUUGACAUUGAUUUGACAUUCUACCCCUAAUACCUUGGUGUUGUUAGAAUUCAUUGCAUUUUCUUUCUGCAUAUCUCCAUUGCAUUCCAAAGGACAAAAUUUGGGUCUUUUCGUAUUUAAUUACCUUCCACCACGAAUGUAUGAAGACCGUUGUCAUUCUUACCUUCUAGUUCAAGAUAAUUAAAUAGGGGCAGCUGUCAUACCCCAAUUUUGUUCGGGCAUUUAAAUCUUUGUAAAAUUGAUUUCAUUUUUAAUUUGCAUCAUAUACACAGCAUGGCAUGCAUUCCAUCAUGAAUAAAACCUAAAAUAUCAGUUGGAAUAAAUUAUUGAAAAUACAGACAAUCGGUUAAAUAAUUUCUCAAAAACGUGCAAAAAUCAGCGGGUAAAAAGUUUCAAAAUUAAAAUUGCAGACGUCAGUAUUAUUAAUCUACGGUUCACGUAGUUUAACUUGGUGUGCUCGUCAUAUUUUUCAAUGACUGUUUCGGCUGCAUUGUGACCCGCCUGAGCCUUUUAACCGGUGAAAAUUUAUUUCAAAAUUUAAAGAAACGCUGUAUUUUUUCAAUAAGUAUAUUUUAUGCUGAUAAUUUUAGUGUGCCCGAUUUAAUUUUUCGAGCAAAUUUAUAUCCGGCUUCUAUUUAUAAUCGAUCACUAUUUUUGCUAGGUUAAUUAUUCAACUAAAGUAAUUAAAAGUUUAUUUAAAUCAAAACAUUUAUUAGGAAUUUUUAAUAAGAGUAUUUCUUUUAAUAAUAGUAAUUGUUUGAGAUUUAACAUUGGAUUCUUUGUAGUAUUUUUGACAACAUUGGAUUCUUUGUAGUAUUUUUGACAGCUAGCAUUGAAGAAGGAAAAAAGAUCUCUCAUAUCUCUCUCUCUCUCAGCCACGUCACACUCACAACAAAUACUCUUUCUCCCACUAACUCUCUCUCUAAUCUCUCGUACGCAUAAAAAACAGAAGAAAAAAACGAAAAAAGAAAAAGAGAGGCACAAACCACCACUCUCUCUCUCUCCUCACACUCACCUACAAUUACUCACUCACUCACAUCUCUCUCUACACUCAGACUCUCUCUAAAAAAUAAUUAAAAAAAGAGAAAAAAGAAAAGGAGGAAUUACUGUUCCUCUUCUUGAAUCCAUCCGCCGUCAUACUCCCCCACCGUCACAACCCAAAACAACCAUUCAUCACCACCAAAUCUACCGCGUCUCAUACACCAUAACCACCAUUAAACCAUCAAACAUUUGCUUCGACAAAAUCUCCAACUACUCUCUCACACUCACCAAAAACUCUCCCUCGCCUCACCUAUCUUCUGUCAAUCUCUGUAGAAAAAAAAGAGAAAAAACGAGAAAAGAAAAAGAAAUUGGGAAAAACUCUUCCUCUUCUUCGAAUCUCACAAGCCACUACCCCAUCGCCUCCAUUGCCUCCAACCGACGCGGUUACUUCCAUCACAGACCACCGCUCCACCUCAACAACCUUCAUCAAACCCAUACUCCCUCCAAAUCACCAACAACCAAACCAGAUCCAUACGUCUUAAUCCCGCCACCGCAAUGUAAAGAUC
rnacentral:lncRNA from 1 species